GUGGGCCUUUACAUCGGACCUCGUAGCAACCAAUGUGAAUUCCCGAGCCUUCAACAAUUUUCACUAAACCCUAGUUUGCCUUACAAACCCAAUUCAUUUCCUUUUGUUUCCUCGCCUCCACACACAGUCGCUAGAGUACAACACCGCACACGCAGCCGCUACAAGAUCUCGAUCUCGAUCUCCUCUGAAGUCGCCGCCAGAUCUCGAUCUUCUCUGAAGCCGCCGAAUCCACCGCAAGUCAACCGCUUUCGAUCGCAUCUCAGUCGCGAUUCCACAACGAGUUCGAUCGCAUCUCAGCCGUGA